UACGAAGGGGGCUAGCGUUGGUCGGAAUUACUGGGCGUAAAGCGCACGUAGGCGGGUUGUUAAGUCAGGGGUGAAAUCCUGGAGCUCAACUCCAGAACUGCCUUUGAUACUGGCAACCUAGAGGCUGGAAGAGGUUAGUGGAAUUCCCAGUGUAGAGGUGAAAUUCGUAGAUAUUGGGAAGAACACCAGUGGCGAAGGCGGCUAACUGGUCCAGAUCUGACGCUGAGGUGCGAAAGCGUGGGGAGCAAACAGG
rnacentral:rRNA from 1 species